GAUGAACGCUGGCGGCGUGCCUAAUACAUGCAAGUCGAGCGAAAAGACGAGGAGCUUGCUGCUCGGACGUGAGGGGCGGACGGGUGUGUAACACGUGGAUAACCUACCUAUAAGAGGGAGAUAACUUCGGAACACCGGCGCUAAUACCGUAGAAGAUAUUGAACCGCGGGGGGCAAUGGUGAGAGACGGUGGUGCUGUCACGUAUAGAUGGAUCCGCGCCGUAUUAGCUAGUUGUUAAGGUAACGGCUUACGAAGGCGACGAUGCGUAGCCGACCUGAUUGGCUGAUAGCCCCCCCUGGAGCUGAGCCGCCCUCCUGGCUCCUGCGGGAGGCCGCAGUCGCGUACCUUCCGCAAUGGGCGGAAGCCUGACGCAGCAACGCCGCGUGAGUUACGACGGCCUUCCGUUCGUGAUGCCCUGUUAUUGGUUAUGAACCACUGUGUCCUUAACCAUGCCCUUCUUGACGGUACCUAAUAAGAAAGCCCCGGCUAACUACGUG
rnacentral:rRNA from 1 species